GAGGAAUUUUGCUCAAUGGGCGCAAGCCUGAAGCAGCGACGCCGCGUGAACGAUGAAGUCUUUCGGGAUGUAAAGUUCUGUCAGCAGGGAAAAUUAUGAUGGUACCUGCAGAGGAAGCACCGGCAAACUAUGUGCCAGCAGCCGCGGUAAUACAUAGGGUGCAAGCGUUGUCCGGAUUUAUUGGGCGUAAAGAGCGUGUAGGUGGUGCUGUAAGUCAAAAUUAAAAGUCAGAGGCUCAACUUCUGUAUGGUUUUGAUACUGCAGCGCUAGAGAUUGGGAGAGGAAAGCGGAACAAACAGUGUAGCGGUGAAAUGCGUAGAUAUUGUUUGGAACACCCGUGGCGAAGGCGGCUUUCUGGACCAAUUCUGACACUGAGACGCGAGGGCGUGGGGAUCAAAC
rnacentral:rRNA from 1 species